rnacentral:rRNA from 1 species
UACGAAGGGGGCUAGCGUUGCUCGGAAUCACUGGGCGUAAAGCGCACGUAGGCGGAUUGUUAAGUCAGGGGUGAAAUCCUGGAGCUCAACUCCAGAACUGCCUUUGAUACUGGCGAUCUUGAGUCCGGGAGAGGUGAGUGGAACUGCGAGUGUAGAGGUGAAAUUCGUAGAUAUUCGCAAGAACACCAGUGGCGAAGGCGGCUCACUGGCCCGGUACUGACGCUGAGGUGCGAAAGCGUGGGGAGCAAAUAGG